AGUGAACGCUGGCGGUAGGCCUAACACAUGCAAGUCGAACGGCAACACAGUAAGAGCUUGCUCUUACGGGUGGCGAGUGGCGGACGGGUGAGGAAUACAUCGGUAUCUACUUUUUCGUGGGGGAUAACGUAGGGAAACUUACGCUAAUACCGCAUACGACCUACGGGUGAAAGCAGAGGAUCUUCGGACCUUGCGCGAAUGAAUGAGCCGGGGUCGGAUUAGCUAGUUGGCGGGGUAAAGGCGCACUAAGGCGACGAUCCGUAGCUGGUCUGAGGGGGUGAAGAGCCACACUGGAGCUGAGACACGGUCCAGGCUCCUAGGGGAGGCAGCGGUGGGGAAUGGUGGACGAUGGGCGGAAGCCUGAUCCAGCGAUAGCGGGCGGGUGCAGAAGGGCUGCGGGCUGGAAAGCCCUUUUGUUGGGAAAGAAAAGCAGCAGGAUAAUACCCGGCUGUUCUGACGGUACCUGAAGAAUAAGCACCGGCUAACUACGUG
rnacentral:rRNA from 1 species